rnacentral:rRNA from 1 species
AACGAACGCUGGCGGCAGGCUUAACACAUGCAAGUCGAACGGGUGUCGCAAGACAUCAGUGGCAGACGGGUGAGUAACACGUGGGAACCUUCCUAGGGGGUACGGAACAACUCAGGGAAACUUGAGCUAAUACCGUAUACGUCCGUGAGGAGAAAGAUUUAUCGCCCUUAGACGGGCCCGCGUCGGAUUAGGUAGUUGGUGGGGUAAUGGCCUACCAAGCCUACGAUCCGUAGCUGAUCUUAGAGGAUGAUCAGCCACACUGGGACUGAGACACGGCCCAGACUCCUACGGGAGGCAGCAGUGGGGAAUCUUGGACAAUGGGCGCAAGCCUGAUCCAGCCAUGCCGCGUGAGUGAAGAAGGCCUUAGGGUUGUAAAGCUCUUUUACCAGGGACGAUAAUGACGGUACCUGGAGAAUAAGCCCCGGCAAACUUCGUG